UACAGAGACCUCGAGCGUUAUUCGGAUUCACUGGGCGUAAAGGGUGCGCAGGCGGUUAGAUGUGUCAGGUGUGAAAGCUCUAGGCUCAACCUAGAAAUUGCGCUUGAAACUAUCUGACUAGAGUAUCGGAGAGGUGAGCGGAAUUCAUGGUGUAGCAGUGAAAUGCGUAGAUAUCAUGAGGAACACCAGAGGCGAAGGCGGCUCACUGGACGAUUACUGACGCUCAGGCACGAAAGCGUGGGGAGCGAAAGGG
rnacentral:rRNA from 1 species